rnacentral:rRNA from 1 species
AGUGAACGCUGGCGGUAGGCCUAACACAUGCAAGUCGAACGGCAGCACAGUAAGAGCUUGCUCUUACGGGUGGCGAGUGGCGGACGGGUGAGGAAUACAUCGGAAUCUACUUUUUCGUGGGGGAUAACGUAGGGAAACUUACGCUAAUACCGCAUACGACCUACGGGUGAAAGCAGGGGAUCUUCGGACCUUGCGCGAUUGAAUGAGCCGAUGUCGGAUUAGCUAGUUGGCGGGGUAAAGGCCCACCAAGGCGACGAUCCGUAGCCGGUCUGAGAGGAUGAUUGGCCACACUGGAACUGAGACACGGUCCAGACUCCUACGGGAGGCAGCAGUGGGGAAUAUUGGACGAUGGGGGCAAGCCUGAUCCAGCCAUACCGCGUGGGUGAAGAAGGCCUUCGGGUUGUAAAGCCCUUUUGUUGGGAAAGAAAAGCAGCAGGUUAAUACCCCGCUGUUCUGACGGUACCCAAAGAAUAAGCACCGGCUAACUUCGUG